GAUGAACGCUAGCUACAGGCUUAACACAUGCAAGUCGAGGGGAAACGGCAUCGAAAGCUUGCUUUUGAUGGGCGUCGACCGGCGCACGGGUGAGUAACGCGUAUCCAACCUGCCCAUCACUUGGGAAUAACCUUGCGAAAGUAAGACUAAUGCCCAAUGACAUCCCACGAAGGCAUCCGAAUGGGAUUAAAGAUUUAUCGGUGAUGGAUGGGGAUGCGUCUGAUUAGCUUGUUGGCGGGGUGACGGCCCACCAAGGCAACGAUCAGUAGGGGUUUGGAGAGAAAGGUCCCCAAAAUUGGAACUGGGACACGGUCAAAACUCCUACGGGGGGCAGAAGGGGGGAAUAUUGGCAAAGGGGGGGGAGCCUGAACCAGCAAAUUGGCGUGCAGGAUGACGGCCCUAUGGGUUUUAAACUGUUUUUAUAAGGGAAUAAAGUGGGUCACGUGUGACUUUUUGCAUGUACCUUAUGAAUAAGGACCGGCUAAUUCCGU
rnacentral:rRNA from 1 species